rnacentral:sRNA from 2 species
UAUUCUGCCCUACAGGGAAGGAUGAGAAGCUUCGACUAAAGUUCGACUCGAGCGAAGCGAGAGAACGUUGCCGCAGGCAACGGCCCGAAGGGCGAGUCGCUUUAGCGCCGAGUAAUCCUUCCCCCACCACCA